rnacentral:rRNA from 1 species
GGGCUUGACAUCCCACGAACCUGCCUGAAAGGGCGGGGUGCCCGCAAGGGAGCGCGGAGACAGGUGGUGCAUGGCUGUCGUCAGCUCGUGUCGUGAGAUGUUGGGUUAAGUCCCGCAACGAGCGCAACCCUCACCCCUAGUUGCCACCGGGUCAUGCCGAGCGCUCAAGGGGAACUGCCAGCGUUAAGCUGGAGGAAGGCGGGGAUGACGUCAAGUCAUCAUGCCCCUUACGCCCUGGGCUACACACGUGCUACAAUGGCCGGUACAAAGGGAUGCGAGACCGCGAGGUGGAGCUAAUCCCAAAAAGCUGGUCUAAGUUCAGAUUGCAGUCUGCAACUCGACUGCAUGAAGGAGGAAUCGCUAGUAAUCGCGCAUCAGCCCGGCGCGGUGAAUACGUUCCCGGGCCUUGUACACACCGCCCGUCACACCACGAAAGCUGUCUGUACUCGAAGUCGCUGAG